rnacentral:lncRNA from 1 species
GAGCCCAUUAUGGUGGAAGGCCUACGAAGAGAUGUUCAAAGCAUCUCUCGCUUAUCAACUUAAUAUUCAUUUUGUUGAGGGAGUAGUGUUGGGCUACAUCAAUUUUAUUUUAAUCUUAUUAAAAGAACUUGGGCCUAUCACAACCAUUGGUCCAAGUUAAUAUAAAUUAGUAGUAUAUAAUACUCCCACUAUUUCUAUGAAACAAGCGAGACUAUAUGGAACUACUAACGAAUGCAUUGCAUCCUCAUAUGGACUAUAUAGUCAUAUUAGGUCUUAGGAUGAUUAUGAACCAUUUGAUUUAAUCCAACAUGAGCCUUGUGUUGGACCUUGGGUCUAAGAUAGGUAGUUGUUGAUUUUAGUUACGCGUUUAAUCUAAUUAAACCGUUAUUUCCUAUUGGACGUUGGACCCAACUAUUCCAAUUUGCAUACAAAUAAACAAAUAGGAAUACUUGAAAUAAAGAGAAGGGCUUAUGCCCUUUUACAACACAUUUGAACUAAUCAAAUUACAUUCAAAUCUAAACUACUUAACCCAAGCAUUCAUAAUGAAAGCGGCCAAUCACAUAGCUCAAUUAUCGAGGCCUUUGGUUCAUAAUCACCCUUUUCUUAAUCAAUCAAAUUAACUAAGAAAGCAACUUAAACAAUUGGUUUUCGGAUUCAUAGAAUUGAUUUAAAUGGAACUAAAUGAAAUGAAAAUCCAAUUCUCAUUCAAGAGACAAAACCAUUUUGUUCUCAUCAUCUUUUGGGCCGAAAAACAAUGACCACAACUAUUGGGCCAUAAAUUUAAAACAUAAACUUUUGGGGUCACUUUGUAAAAACACAAGAGUCCACAACUUCAUGUAAUUACAACUAGAACCCAAAAAUUUCAACAAUAAAAACUUCAUUAAAGGAGCAAAACAAUUUGUCUUUUAGCGUUUUUGGGCCUUAACGUAAAAACGCAAACUUUUGGGUCAAAGUGCAAAUACACAAAAGUAUCAAAACUUUAUGUAAUUGCAUGAAAGCCCCAAAAGUACCCCCACUAAGGGGUGACCGGUUUUGGUAGUGAAAAAGGAGGGGGGAAAAGGUUUUUGGUUAAAAAUUCAAAAUUUGAAAGUG